CCUACGGGCGGCAGCAGUGGGGAAUAUUGCACAAUGGGGGAAACCCUGAUGCAGCGACGCCGCGUGAGUGAAGAAGUAAUUCGUUACGUAAAGCUCUAUCAGCAGGGAAGAAAUACUGACCUUACGGUCAGCAGACGGUACCUGAGUAAGACGCCCCGGCUAACUACGUGCCAGCAGCCGCGGUAAUACGUAGGGGGCAAGCGUUAUCCGGAUUUACUGGGUGUAAAGGGAGCGUCGACGGUGCGCCAAGUCUGGAGUGAAAUGCCGCAGCUUAACUGCGGAACUGCUUUGGAAACUGGCGAACUAGAGUGCGGGAGGGGUAAGCGGAAUUCCUAGGGUAGCGGUGAAAUGCGUAGAUAUUAGGAGGAACACCGGUGGCGAAGGCGGCUUACUGGACCGUAACUGACGUUGAGGCUCGAAAGCGUGGGGAGCAAACAGGAUUAGAUACCCUAGUAGUC
rnacentral:rRNA from 1 species